UUGGCUUCUGAUUAAGGGCGUCGUUCUUGCUUCGGCAGACGAGCCUGACCUCCACUUUCUAACUCUGUGCAUUUGUUGGCUUGAGUCGGGUGAGACGGUACGUUCGCUUGCGGACGAACCGGCGAAACGACUCUGGCGGCUUCACUUUAUAAACACCAGUCAAAGUAUGUAACGAAAUAUCGAAAUAAAAAAAAACUUUCAACAACCGAACUCCUGGCUCUCGCAACCAUGAAAAAAGCCACCAAAUGGGAUAAGUAAUGGGAAUUGGAGAAUUCAAUGAAACCUCCAAUCCUUGAACGCACCUUGGGCUCCCUAAUAUUCUGGGGAACAUGGCUGGUUGAAUGGCAUGAACUCCUCAACCCCUCCAUUUCCUGGAAACUGAAUGGAACUUGGAAUUUGAACGUUGCUGGUCCCUCCUUGGAACUUAACUCCGUCGUUAUACAUUUGCCGCUCCUAUUCGAAAUCCGAUUGGCUCAAUGUAAUAAACUAUUCGCUGAGGAACCUCUUGGAGUGGCGAAAGAUCGAGACUUGAGCAGCUUCAAACUCUGUAGUCAACUUUAGAUUACACCUAGAUCACGCAGGAUUACCCGCUGAACUUAAGCAUAUCAUAAGCGGAGGAAGGAC
rnacentral:rRNA from 1 species